rnacentral:rRNA from 1 species
UGCAAGUCGAGCGAACUGAUUAGAAGCUUGCUUCUAUGACGUUAGCGGCGGACGGGUGAGUAACACGUGGGCAACCUGCCUGUAAGACUGGGAUAACUUCGGGAAACCGAAGCUAAUACCGGAUAGGAUCUUCUCCUUCAUGGGAGAUGAUUGAAAGAUGGUUUCGGCUAUCACUUACAGAUGGGCCCGCGGUGCAUUAGCUAGUUGGUGAGGUAACGGCUCACCAAGGCAACGAUGCAUAGCCGACCUGAGAGGGUGAUCGGCCACACUGGGACUGAGACACGGCCCAGACUCCUACGGGAGGCAGCAGUAGGGAAUCUUCCGCAAUGGACGAAAGUCUGACGGAGCAACGCCGCGUGAGUGAUGAAGGCUUUCGGGUCGUAAAACUCUGUUGUUAGGGAAGAACAAGUACGAGAGUAACUGCUCGUACCUUGACGGUACCUAACCAGAAAGCCACGGCUAACUACGUGCCAGCAGCCGCGGUAAU